GAACUUAGCAGAGAUGCUUUGGUGCCUUCGGGAACUCUGAGACAGGUGCUGCAUGGCUGUCGUCAGCUCGUGUUGUGAAAUGUUGGGUUAAGUCCCGCAACGAGCGCAACCCUUAUCCUUUGUUGCCAGCGAUUCGGUCGGGAACUCAAAGGAGACUGCCGGUGAUAAACCGGAGGAAGGUGGGGAUGACGUCAAGUCAUCAUGGCCCUUACGGCCAGGGCUACACACGUGCUACAAUGGCGCAUACAAAGAGAAGCGACCUCGCGAGAGCAAGCGGGACCUCAUAAAGUGCGUCGUAGUCCGGAUUGGAGUCUGCAACUCGACUCCAUGAAGUCGGAAUCGCUAGUAAUCGUAGAUCAGAAUGCUACGGUGAAUACGUUCCCGGGCCUUGUACACACCGCCCGUCACACCAUGGGAGUGGGUUGCAAAAGAAGUAGGUAGCUUAACCUUCGGGAGGGCGCUUACCACUUUGUGAUUCAUGACUGGGGUGAAGUCGUAACAAGGUAGGCGUAGAUGA
rnacentral:rRNA from 1 species